AGUCGAGCGAACGGACGAGAAGCUUGCUUCUCUGAUGUUAGCGGCGGACGGGUGAGUAACACGUGGAUAACCUACCUAUAAGACUGGGAUAACUUCGGGAAACCGGAGCUAAUACCGGAUAAUAUUUUGAACCGCAUGGUUCAAAAGUGAAAGACGGUCUUGCUGUCACUUAUAGAUGGAUCCGCGCUGCAUUAGCUAGUUGGUAAGGUAACGGCUUACCAAGGCAACGAUGCAUAGCCGACCUGAGAGGGUGAUCGGCCACACUAGAACUGAGACACGGUCCAGACUCCUACGGGAGGCAGCAGUAGGGAAUCUUCCGCAAUGGGCGAAAGCCUGACGGAGCAACGCCGCGUGAGUGAUGAAGGUCUUCGGAUCGUAAAACUCUGUUAUUAGGGAAGAACAUAUGUGUAAGUAACUGUGCACAUCUUGACGGUACCUAAUCAGAAAGCCACGGCUAACUACGCGCCAGCAGCCGCGGUAAUACGUAGGUGGCAAGCGUUAUCCGGAAUUAUUGGGCGUAAAGCGCGCGUAGGCGGUUUUUUAAGUCUGAUGUGAAAGCCCACGGCUCAACCGUGGAGGGUCAUUGGAAACUGGAAAACUUGAGUGCAGAAGAGGAAAGUGGAAUUCCAUGUGUAGCGGUGAAAUGCGCAGAGAUAUGGAGGAACACCAGUGGCGAAGGCGACUUUCUGGUCUGUAACUGACGCUGAUGUGCGAAUGCGUGGGGAUCAAACAGGAUUAG
rnacentral:rRNA from 1 species